rnacentral:rRNA from 1 species
GACAAGAAAUAACAAUACGGGGCUUAAUGUCUUGUAAUUGGAAUGAUGGGAAUUUAAACCUCUUCCAGAGUAUCAAUUGGAGGGCAAGUCUGGUGCCAGCAGCCGCGGUAAUUCCAGCUCCAAUAGCGUAUAUUAAAUUUGUUGCAGUUAAAAAGCUCGUAGUUGAAUUUCUGCUGCAUUGCUUGUGUCCCUCUGGGGUCUGUGCAUGUGGCUUUUUUCGGACGGAGUUUCUUUGUCUGAAUGUUUACUUUGAGAAAAUUAGAGUGCUCAAAGCAGGCUUUCGCCUUGAAUAGUUUAGCAUGGAAUAAUAAAGUAGGACUUUGGUUCUAUUUUGUUGGUUUUAGGUACCAAAGUAAUGGUUAAUAGGAACAGUUGGGGGCAUUCGUAUUUAACUGUCAGAGGUGAAAUUCUUAG